CCUACGGGAGGCAGCAGCAGGGAAUUUUGCACAAUGAGCGAAAGCUUGAUGCAGCGACGCCGCGUGCGGGAUGAAGGCCUUCGGGUUGUAAACCGCUUUCAGGAGGGACGAAGCGAAAGUGACGGUACCUCCAGAAGAAGCCCCGGCCAACUACGUGCCAGCAGCCGCGGUAAU
rnacentral:rRNA from 1 species